AAACAAACACAGUAUAACCCCUUCAAUGCUUAAUUUCCCAGCUGCUUGCAGGACAUGAGGCUGAAGGCCAGGUAGUUCUCAUUGAUAUGAUAGGCCCUAAUGUCUUACUGGGGUUUGUGCUACAAGUCUCAAGAUGCAAGUAGGACAUGAAGGGAUGAAGCAGGACGUGGCUGUGUACACAGAGGCAGCACAAAGCACUGCUCACCACCAGCAGCCCCACUCCCAGCGCUGGGCACUGGUCCCACCUCCUCCACGUGGCAGCUCUGCAGUCCCGAUGUACAUUUCUUCUGCCAGUGUCUCCGUCAUUGCACACAUGCAGUUAAUUGUGUAUCGAUGACAUGUAUACCAUGUGUUGGGAAGAGGGCUUGAAGGAAGAAUCCGAGUGCUUCUACCUUGCCUUUAAGUAACGUGGAGUUGGCAGAGCAGAUGGCCCACGUGGUAAUGUGAUCUUUUGUACUUUGGGUUGCUUCGUAUCUGGAUAUUGGCGUUGCCAUUGCUUUCUUCAGGGGUGACGGACCUACAACGCACUCAGUUAAGGAUCCAGCAUUCAGGUAUUGUCAGUUUAAUGUCAUACAUGACUUUUAUGGCUUCGUAUUCUGGAAGGGCUGACAGCUGGUGGGGAAUGAGCCCAUGAAACACAUGGAGGAGGAUGGCUCACCAUCACUGCUGUGUUUCAGCUGCAGUCUCACACCUCCAGCCUUCGCAGGGCUUCUUGGCACAGAACUCUAAUGAGAAGUGACCAAAAAAAGUCUCUUGCAUCUGCUUUAAGGAACUUUCUGGAGUGACAAGUAUGUUUAACCUAGUUUUGAAUUCCCUCAGUGUGGGAAAGUUUCUGUGCCCAGGCAGAAGGCCCGGAAGGGUUAUGCAUCAUUUAAAACCUCGUGUUCAAAAUAAGGGGCAGGCUGGGGGCGGGCGGGGAGUGGAAAUGUAGGUUUGUAAUUCUCAGCUCAGCAGGAGCCACUGCUCUGUGCAGGGGCAAAAAACCAACUGAUUAACAGCUUCUGGCAAGGGCAGCAGCCCUUGGUUCCUCUUGCUUCCCACUGGCACAGCAGAGGAAGUGGCCUUUUGCUAUGGCAAGCUACCACUGUCAGCCAUGUGUACCUUUGCUCAGCUCCAACUCUGAUCUGCAGCACCCCAUCAGGUUUUGGGGUUACCUGGAGCAAUCAAAGAGCUUUAACUUUGCUCUCUGAAGCACAGCCCCUGCUGGUUUCCCAUUGGCAUCUCAGGCACAUCUGUUUGUCUUUACAGGUGGUGAGUUGCUACUAUUCAGUAUUAAGUCUUCUAAUGCCAGGCUUUUUUUUUUUUUUUUU